GGAAUGUACCUAGCAGGGAUAGGUGGUAGAUAAGGGAAGGGUUUGUCUAUUGGCUAAGGUUUCUGAUGCAUGAGGGCAACAUGCUUUGCUAAAAGGUAUAUAAUCUUUGUAUAACCUGCAUUCGGCGUCCCCUUCUGACUAGCAAGGGGAUACAACGCUCGAGCGUAAUAAACUUAAUAUCUUUGGGAACUCUGCAGUUGUGGACUUUGUUCGUGUGCCUCAGCCUAGACUCGAACUGCGCAUGACCUAUCAGGUAUAAUUUGCAACAGUUCUUGGCGACCCAGAUGGGACUCUAGGCUCGCCCCAAUGAGCGAGACUGCACUCCUCCUCUCGGACAGCUCCAGCCAGCACAGGCUGCAUGGGUUUCAA